rnacentral:rRNA from 1 species
UACGUAGGGGGCUGGCGUUGUCCGGAAUCAUUGGGCGUAAAGCGCGUGUAGGCGGCCAGGUAGGUCUGCUGUGAAAACUCGAGGCUCAACCUCGAGAUGUCGGCGGAAACCAUCUGGCUAGAGUCCGGAAGAGGAGAGUGGAAUUCCCGGUGUAGCGGUGAAAUGCGCAGAUAUCGGGAAGAACACCCGUGGCGAAGGCGGCUCUCUGGGACGGUACUGACGCUGAGACGCGAAAGCGUGGGGAGCGAACAGG